rnacentral:rRNA from 1 species
AUGAAAAUGGUGCAUCUGGGCCACGGGUCCGUAUUGAUGGGGAAUGACGUGAGUGCUUCUGUUCAUAGUGUUGGCACGGUCAAUCUGAAGUUUAUUUCGGGAAGAAUCGUGCAGCUGAAGAACGUGCAACAUGUCCCCGCCAUCAAGAAGAACCUCGUUAGUGGCUCCCUUCUAUGUAGAGAAGGGUUUAAGUUGGUAUUUGAGUCUAAUAAAUUGGUUGUUACUAAGUAUGGACUAUUUGUUGAAAAAGGUUAUGAGAGCGGAGGGAUGUUCCGCCUUUCCCUCGCAGAUUUCUGUAAUAAAGUCGUGAACCAUAUUCAUUCGAGUGUUAAUGAAUCUAAAGUUUGGCAUUCACGUCUUGUCACAUAA